UUCCAACCAAUCCCUCCAAAAAGGGGAGAUCUACCAAUACAUAACUUUGGAUUUCACCAAACACUUGAUGAAGUAUUUAGAUAUGGAUCCAGUUCAAACAGCCACUUUGACUGCUCACUCUAAUACAGGAG